CGCGUAGGCGGCCUGAUAAGUAGGGGGUGAAAUCCUGCGGCUUAACCGCAGGGCUGCCUUCUAAACUGUCAGGCUCGAGCACAGUAGAGGCAGGUGGAAUUCCCGGUGUAGCGGUGGAAUGCGUAGAGAUCGGGAAGAACAUCAGUGGCGAAGGCGGCCUGCUGGGCUGUUGCUGACGCUGAGGCGCGACAGCGUGGGGAGCAAACA
rnacentral:rRNA from 1 species